ensembl:lncRNA
GACACUGCUGAAAGGACUCAUAGAGAGGCGCUGGAAUCAUCCAGCCAUCCUCCUCGUCAAAGUUAUGGGCAAUUUGACCUACCAUUUAGCCAUUUCCUGGAGCUGGUUGAGUGGUUCUUUGGGCCGUUUCUGCCUUGAAGACAACACACGGAGUGUUAUCGCCCAUGCAGAUGAGGACCCCAGACCGCUGGCUUGAGCCUCCUUGCCCUUGCGAACGUUAAUUCCACCUCUGCUGACUGCUGAAGCUUUCACCAAGUUCAUAGACCCUAAGUGCAGGCAGGGGCCCCUUCCUCUAAGCGACUGAUUUAGUUUCAAAAAGCUAGGGGUUGAAUAGGCAAAUCAGGGAGGGAACAAACCGUGAAGAGUAUCAUAUUACAGAGAAAUUCCCAGAAGCCUGAGUAGGUUCCCUGUAUCUCUUCUGAUUCCAUAUUGAUAGGGAAAAUGUAAGCCCACCCUAUAUGUAGUAUGCUCUUGUAAUAUUGCAAUUUAUAAUAAGAAAUAUAUAUUUUGUCUCCCUCCUGUUUCUGCCCCAGAGCUCCUAAAGACAUUGGAAUUUCUAAGUGAUAAGAGCCAUAAAGGUGAAAAGAGAGUCUUCUGUUCUUCAUAAGAAGCCCCUUUCAGUAACUUCUGAGUUUAUGUCAAUCAGGUGCUUUUGGGAAAUCCCAGGUGGGAGCUGGUUGCCAGGGGAAGGGAACCAACUUUGCAAUUAAAGGGUUGGACCUUUCAGCUCCACCCCGUGCCCCACCUCUGGGGAAGGAAGAGGAGAGAGGGGCUGGAGGGGAAUCAGUCAUCAAUGGCCAAUGGUUUAAUCAAUCAUGCCUAUGUAAUGACACUUCCAUAAAACCCCAAAAGGAUGGGGUUCAGAGAGCUUCCAGGUUGGUGAACACGUGGAGGAGUUGCAAGAGCUGUGCCUGGAGAGGGCGUGGAAGCUCCGCGCCCUUCCCACAUGCCUUGCCCGAUGCCUCCAUCUGGCUGUUCCUGAGUUAUAUUCUUUUAUAAUAAACUGGUAAUCUAGUAAGUAAACUGUUUGCCUGAGUUCUAUGAGCCACUCCAACAAGUUAAUUGAACCUGAAGAGGGGUCAUGGGACCCUCUGAUUUACAGCCCAUCAGAAGCAGAGGUGACAGCCUGGAGUUGUGAUUGGCACCUACAGUGGGGCUGGGGGAACUGCCCAUCUGGAACCACGUUAGAUUAAAUUCACGACCUGAGGUCCACUCCUCAAUCCCCACCCCGGCCAACCAGAUUAUGUGAAUUUCAGCUACAGAUCUGCUCAGGAGCUGCUUAUAUUUGCAACUUCUCAGAAUGGGAGACCCAUUUCCUCCUGGCUGAUGGCCUGGCCUCACCACCUAUUUCACACUCAGCUCCACUGAGCUGGUAUUUAGCAGAGUCUCCUUCUGAAUUCAAGCAAGAGGUUAACAGUGGGUUCUAGGACCCUGGUGAAGAAGGGCUUCUGGCAAGUUGCCCCUCCAAGUCAGCAGAGAUUCCUAGACAAACUGAAGGCCAGAAGUGUGCGCAAGUUUGGCUCAAGCUGGAAGCUCACACUGGGAACAAUCCAAGGACCCUCAGAGAACAGUCGUUCUACUCCGGGUGGCAAGAGAGGAAUAUUAGGCUAGGGAACUCAGCAAGUUACAGCGAGGGUGUUCUGGCCUCUUCAAGGACAUUGGCAUUUUUGCUUCCAUUUUAAGUGUGUG